GGAUUCCCCCAGUAACGGCGAGCGAAGCGGGAGGAGCUCGAGCAGGCAAUCUCUGGCGUCGAUCGUCAGCGAAUUGUGGCCGGUAGAGGCCGCUGCACCCGAGGCGAUCCGUCCGAAGUCGACCUGGAAAGGCACGUCGGAGAGGGUGAUAACCCCGUGCACGGGCGGGUCGCCGAGGGUCUGUGCGGUCUUCCGAGAGUCGGGUUGUUUGGGAUUGCAGCCCAAAGUGGGUGGUAAACUCCAUCUAAAGCCGAAUAGUGGCACGAGACCGAUAGCGAACAAGUACCGUGAGGGAAAGGUGAAAAGCACUUUGAAAAGAGAGUUAAAUAGGCCGCGAAAUCGUUAGGAGGGAAACGCAUGCAGCCGAACGGGCCCUCGCCGGGUUCACGGGUGGCCGGAGAGCCGGCACUUCGGCGGGCACCCCAAGGGGUCCCCGAGGUGGUGGGCGUCUUCGCAGCCCUGCACUCCCGGCGUUCCGGGCCGACCGAGGGCGGCGGUCAUGCGGGCGAUGUGGGCGACCGGGCAGGUGUCGCAGCCGGCCCACGUCGGAGGCGAACUUAGUACCCGGUCGUUGCUUGGAGCCCGCGGACCGCCAAGGAGAGGGCGGCUGUUCGCCCCUUCAGCGCAGGCCCCUCGAGGGCCGGAGCGCUUCUGACCGUCCAGCCUUCGCUCCGCGAGACUGUUCGCAGUGUCCGGCGGCGUCGCGCGCGUUCGGUCGGGAGGUCGUCUCACG
rnacentral:rRNA from 1 species